rnacentral:lncRNA from 1 species
AGAAUUCGAGUCUGAUGCGAAGUGUGGCUCCCCACCUCAUCGUAAAUUACGAAAGGAAUUUGAACGGAAUGAUAUUUUAAAAGAAAAAGAAACGAUAAAAAUAUGGUACUACCCGACUGGGAGAACCUCGUUUUCCACCGCAUAAAGAAAAAAUAAUAAACGAUAGAAAAUAUAUUAUGGAACAAAGAGAGGCGUUAUACGCGGGUGUGGCCAAAGACAAAUUAAAAAGAAAGGAGAAAGUAUAAGACAUCAUCUUUCCCCGGGAAAAAGAAGAAAGAAAAAGGUCGGUAAAUUUUAUGCAGGAUCUAAUACGAGACUGGAAACAGGAUGUAGCGCAGAAGGGCUAUUUCGUGUCCCGUCCCGUCCGAUUAGGGGACGAAGCGUAUUAUUUCUUUUACUUUCUCUUCCAGGUGGCGUCAAGUAGCUCUCUCCGAGGAAAUACGUUAAUAUUACGUUUUAUUUCCCGUUUAUGUUAAAUGAAUGUAUUAUUUAUUUUAUACGCGUUUCCGAAUCAAUUCUCCUACCCUGGAUCCCGGUCGGAAAUACGCUCGAGGUUAGCCAGGCACAUUGUUAUACCGACCAUCGGCUCCGAGCCGGCACUGGUGUCAGAAGAGAGCUUCUCCAAAGACGAGACACCAGCCUAGAUAGGUGGCGGGAUCCCGACACUCGGCCAAUAGCUAGUAAUAACAACUUUAAAGAUUCUGGUAUGUUUGGGUUAAAUUUUCGAUAAAAAAUAUUUUAUCUCCAAUAUAAUUAAGAUUGGCUGGCCUAACUGCAAUUAAGCUAACCUAACCGUCGGCCGGACGGUUCGAUUUCCAUUGUCCCACUCGGUAGAAAAUUUAUUAGUGGGGUGCGGGCCCACCGGGUCCUCAUCAUCCGGCCCACGCCUUCCAGAGAUGCACAGCCGGUGAAAGGAUCGGUUUGGCCCCGUCGAUUCUAUCCAUAGAUUUUCUGAUUCUGUCCCAGUGAAAAGUGGCUAGCUCUAUGUUUACAAAAACUCUAUCGAAUAUAAUUCUUUUCUCCUUGUUUAAAUAUAUCAAAAAAAUCACAAAUAAUUUAUAUUGUUUGCCGUAUUCGGCCGACUGAUGCUAUACUACAAUAUAAUCACCGAACGUUUUUUUAUUUAUAAAAAUCCUUACAGCGGGAAUUCAUCUAGCUAAAUUUUCAUUUCAGAUUAUUAUUAUUAUUAUUAUUAUUAUUAUUAU